GACGAACGCUGGCGGCGUGCUUAACACAUGCAACUCGAACGGAAAGGCCCCCUUGUUGGGUCCUCGAGUGGCGAACGGGAGAGUAACACGCGAGUAAACUACCCUUGACUUUGGGACAACUUCAGGAAACUGGGGCUAAUACCGGAUAGGAGCUCCUGCUGCAUGGCGGUGGUUGGAAAGUUUCGGAGGUUUGGGAGGGACUGUCGGCUUAUCAGCCAGCUAGCGGGGUAGUGGCUCACCAAGUCUUUUCAGGGUAGCCGGCCUGAGAAGGUGACCGGCCACAUUGGGAAUGGCAUACGGCCCAUACUCUUACGGGCGGCAGCAGUAGGGGAUAUUGCACUAUGGGCGGAAUCCUGAUGCAGCAACGCCGCGUGCGGAAUGACGGCCUUCGGGUUGUAAACCGCUUGCGCAUGUGACGAAGCGUGUGUGACGGUAAUGGGUAGAGAAGCACCGGCUAACUACGAG
rnacentral:rRNA from 1 species